UACGUAGGAGGCGAGCGUUGUCCGGAUUUAUUGGGCGUAAAGAGCGUGUAGGCGGCCGUACAGGUCAGCUGUGAAAACUCGAGGCUCAACCUCGAGACGUCGGUUGAAACCGUACGGCUAGAGUCCGGAAGAGGAGAGUGGAAUUCCCGGUGUAGCGGUGAAAUGCGCAGAUAUCGGGAAGAACACCCGUGGCGAAGGCGAUCAUCUGGGUGUCGUGACACUGAGGAGCGAAAGCUAGGGGAGCAA
rnacentral:rRNA from 1 species